GGGGGAAUAUUGGACAAUGGGCGAAAGCCUGAUCCAGCCAUGCCGCGUGCGUGAAGAAGGUCUUCGGAUUGUAAAGCACUUUAAGUUGGGAGGAAGGGCAUUAACCUAAUACGUUAGUGCUUUGACGUUACCGACAGAAUAAGCACCGGCUAACUCUGUGCCAGCAGCCGCGGUAAUACAGAGGGUGCAAGCGUUAAUCGGAAUUACUGGGCGUAAAGCGCGCGUAGGUGGUUUGUUAAGUUGAAUGUGAAAUCCCCGGGCUCUACCUGGGAACUGCAUCCAAAACUGGCAAGCUAGAGUAUGGUAGAGGGUAGUGGAAUUUCCUGUGUAGCGGUGAAAUGCGUAGAUAUAGGAAGGAACACCAGUGGCGAAGGCGACUAUCUGGACUGAUACUGACACUGAGGUGCGAAAGCGUGGGGAGCAAACA
rnacentral:rRNA from 1 species